CUCCAUCCCGAACCCGGCAGUUAAGCCCACCAGCGCCGAUGGUAGUAUGCGGGCGACUGCAUGCGAGAGUAGGUCAUUGCCAACC
rnacentral:rRNA from 1 species